CACAACUUUAGCGAGUUUUGCGAGAUACGAAACAUGUCCCGAAUCAUACAUUUUUUUUCAAUUUUAAAUUGUUUGAUAUGCAUGAUAUACUAUUUCUCUAUUUUAUAUUAUUUGAAGAUACGACUGAGUCUAGAAGAAGGCAUAGAUUUUUAGAAGGACGAGAUCAAGGAAUUUUUAGAACAUUUGAUAGUAUUCCUUCAUAUCCUGACAAAUUUCGUCAGAUGUUCCAUAUGCAUGUGGAAACAUUUAAUUACAUUCUUACAAAAUUGGAAUCUAUAGACACCACUAUAGUUAUACAUAAAAAUUCUAUCAGUAUGAAGCAUAGACUAUAUAUAACACUCAUAUAUUUGACAACUGGUAUGAGCUUGACAUCUUUACAAACCUUCAGAAACAAAUAUUACAAACACUAUACAAAUAGUUAAGGCUGACUGCCUUUUGCAUAAUAUUAUAAUAGAUCUUGAGGGAAAUCAUAGCACAGAUAUAAAUCAUGAACAAUACCCAAUACUCAAUUUUACCCAAUCUCAGUUCCAGCGAUGGACUGAAAGCUCUAAUAAAAUUAGAGAAACUUAAUUUAUUUGUAAAUAAUUAUAUGUAAAAUUUUUGUACACAUUAAUUUUUGAUUCCCAUAAUCUUAUAUUUCUUAAUUCCCAUAACCUUAUAUCUCUUAUGAAUGUUUUCAUUUGUCAAAGUUAUAUAAUUUAUUUAUAAAUAUUCAAUAAA